UUACAAUGAAGUUCACCCGAAUAGGUAUUUCCUACUUGGCUAUUACAAACCAUGUCACUUAGGACAUUAAGAUUACCAAAAUGAACUAGGUUAGAGCAUAUUGCCUUGUUUAGCCUUUUUGUUACCAAAGACCUUUCUUCUAGAUCCGAGAUAAGAGUAUCAUAAACAUAAAGGGUGUGGGGGAUAAUACAAAAUAGUAAAGUCCUUGAUGCCUUGAAUCUCCUUGAUUGCCCUCUUAGCCAUUUGGUGUGUUGCCUUGUUGGCCUUCCUGAAUGUGUGAUGGAUUACUUGGACCUCCAGUUGGAUCAUUAACAACCUGCAA
rnacentral:lncRNA from 1 species